UAGGCUAUCCUCCUUGGUCAUAAAGUCCAUAGGCUGUGUGUUUAACAACUUUAAUUUAACCAAUUUGGGAUGGCAUGAAAAGCCCUCUACACUUGUUGUCCGUACAAUAUAUCCUCAAAAUCAAAAGCAAGAGAGCUGCCCAGGUGCCAGAAAAGAACAACAUAUAGUGAUAACUCUGAAGGGGAUCCCAAUCAUUUUCUUUUGAGAAAGCAAGGUGUAACAGAUUUGGAGUUACAAAACUUUUCUUUGAGUACCAGCUAACACCACUGAGCCUUAGUUCUUAGCUAUUUUUUUUUCAUGUUGUGAAAAAAGACAUCUUUGAGUGCAUGUGAUUGUUAUUCAUGGAAACUGUCAGUAUUCUUAAGUCCUCCUAGAAACAUGAAAG